AGUGAACGCUGGCGGUAGGCCUAACACAUGCAAGUCGAACGGCAGCACAGUAAGAGCUUGCUCUUACGGGUGGCGAGUGGCGGACGGGUGAGGAAUACAUCGGAAUCUACUUUUUCGUGGGGGAUAACGUAGGGAAACUUACGCUAAUACCGCACACGACCUACGGGUGAAAGCAGGGGAUCUUCGGACCUUGCGCGAUUGAAUGAGCCGAUGUCGGAUUAGCUAGUUGGCGGGGUAAAGGCCCACCAAGGCGACGAUCCGUAGCUGGUCUGAGAGGAUGAUCAGCCACCCUGGAACUGCGACACGGUCCAGACUCCUACGGGAGGCAGCAGUGGGGAAUAUUGGACAAUGGGCGCAAGCCUGAUCCAGCCAUACCGCGUGGGUGAAGAAGGCCUUCGGGUUGUAAAGCCCUUUUGUUGGGAAAGAAAAGCAGCAGGUUAAUACCCCGCUGUUCUGACGGUACCCAAAGAAUAAGCACCGGCUAACUUCGUG
rnacentral:rRNA from 1 species